GACGAACGCUGGCGGCGUGCUUAACACAUGCAAGUCGAACGGAGUUACGUAUGAAGUAUUUCGGUACGGACUACAUAACUUAGUGGCGAACGGGUGAGUAACACGUGGGCAACCUGCCCUUAACCGGGGGAUAACAUUGUGAAAACAGUGCUAAUACCGCAUAACAGAGUAUCGGGCAUCCGAUAUUUUAAAAGGAGCAAUCCGGUUUAGGAUGGGCCCGCGUCCAAUUAGCUAGUUGGUGAGGUAACGGCUCACCAAGGCUACGAUUGGUAGCCGAACUGAGAGGUUGAUCGGCCACAUUGGGACUGAGACACGGCCCAGACUCCUACGGGAGGCAGCAGUUGGGAAUCUUCGGCAAUGGGCGCAAGCCUGACCGAGCAACGCCGCGUGAGUGAUGAAGGUUUUCGGAUUGUAAAGCUCUGUCUUCCGGGACGAUAAUGACGGUACCGGAGGAGGAAGCCACGGCUAACUACGUG
rnacentral:rRNA from 1 species